rnacentral:lncRNA from 12 species
GUUCAGUUCUAUUAGAUAUUUUCAUUGAAAACUGAUGAGCUUUCUCUCCUGGAUGCUGAAUGGCUGGAGAAAUCAUUAUGUAGUAUCAACCUUUAUACCAUAAAACUUUUUCUUAAUGAAAAUGUAGACUAUAUUAUAGUAAAUAUGUAUACACCUGAAAUUUAAUAUUGAUAUUUCUAAUUACUUCACAUUUUAUUUUUAGCAGCCACUUGAAGUAUUCCCAAGAAGAAAGUUCUACAUUUCAGCUCCCUUCAGAUGAAAGUCAUCCCUGUCCCCUACUCCAGUGACAAACAUUCAACAAUGAAGCCGAUAUAGCCAUUAUUGUACUUGUAAUGAAGCUGUGUUUCAAUACAGGGUUUGUGAAACCCUCCAAAGUUCCCCUUUCUCAGCAUGCAAGACAGACUCACGGGUGCCAGAAGACCUUGGUAAAUAGAAAAGCUUGUUGCUCCAGAUGUGCAUACUUCAAAGGAAUAUCAGGUAUGGUAAACAGACCAGCAAGGACGGCACAGACCCUUAUUUACAUUUAUGACCAGGCCAGAAUAAGUUGUAUCUAUUGUGUUAUGUGGGCGAUCACGUACAAGCGAGCCCUGAGAACCAUUGCUCAAGCCCUUUCUCAAGUGUCAACCAACUAUUCACCUUUUAGGCUCCCAAGCCUUUUGAGUGAAUGAGGGACGCAAGUCCGGGCCUGGUAUGGUUCAGUUACUCCAGCUAGUUCCUGGUUGCCCACAAAAUAGGCUUUCAUUAAUGAUUAUUCACCUGUUUAUCUUUCCCCAUGCCUCCCUCCAACAAUGCUUGUAUAAAUUGUGAUGAUUUCUAAAAAUUUCUGACCAUAUUAGUGAAUGGGAAAAAGAAAAUUUCUCUUGACAGUUUCCUUUGACCUGACUAUAACAUUCAUAGAUAGAAAAUACCCACUUUAUAAAACUGUAAAUGAAGCUAGUUGAAUGUAAAAUUGAGGUAAGUCCUCUUUGACAUAUUUUCCACAAAUCUUUGAAAUAUGUUCAUGCAAAGACUAAAUGUCUAGCUUUCUUCUAUUAAAAAUUUUACUAUAAAUCUUUAAUAUGUACACAGAGGUAAGUGGAAAAUUUCAAACUAUGACCCUCAAGAAAUUAAACCUUACUGAUAUGAGGAUAAUUGAAACACCUCUAAGGUACCUUUCUUCCUCUUAUAUUUUACCUUGUCAACUUUAUUGAGGAAUACUUCACAUAUAAUAAACUACAUCUAUUCAAAAUGUGUGAUUUGGUG